UGUUGAGGGAAGGUACCUGGCCGUAGAUGUCUGGGACAGGACAGGUGUGUGUUGAGGGAAGGUACCUGGCCGUAGAUGUCUGGGACAGGACAGGUGUGUGUUGAGGGAAGGUACCUGGCCGUAGAUGUCUGGGACAGGUGUGUGUUGAGGGAAGGUACCUGGCCGUAGAUGUCUGGGACAGGUAUGUGUUGAGGGAAGGUACCUGGCCGUAGAUGUCUGGGACAGGUGUGUGUUGAGGGAAGGUACCUGGCCGUAGAUGUCUGGGACAGGACAGGUGUGUGUUGAGGGAAGGUACCUGGCCGUAGAUGUCUGGGACAGGUGUGUGUUGAGGGAAGGUACCUGGCCGUAGAUGUCUGGGACAGGACAGGUAUGUGUUGAGGGAAGGUACCUGGCCGUAGAUGUCUGGGACAGGUAUGUGUUGAGGGAAGGUACCUGGCCGUAGAUGUCUGGGACAGGUGGUGUGUGUUGAGGGAAGGUACCUGG